UAUGUUCUUUAAAUUUAAAAAAUUUGGCGGUAUUUUAAUCUUAUUAGAGGAACCUGUUUAUUAAUUGAUAAUCCACGAUUAAUUUUACUUAUGUUAUUAAUUCAUAUAUCGCUGUGACGAGUAUAUUAAAAAAAUUAUUUUCUUUAUUUAUAUUUAUAAUUUAUGUGAAGUCAAGAUGGGGGUUAUAAAAAAGUAUAUAAUGGGGUACAUUUAAUUAUAUUUUUGGAUUUUAAAUGAAAAUUAAAAUGAAAUUGGAUUUAAAAGUAAAUUUAUUUAUUUAAUUAAAAUGAAAAAAGAUCUAAAAAAUGUACAUAUUGCCCGUCAUUCUUAUUAAAAAUAAAACAAGGCCUAACAAAAUAAAUGUCCUGGAAAGUGUAUUUAGAAAGAUUUAAUUAUAUAAA
rnacentral:rRNA from 1 species